rnacentral:lncRNA from 1 species
CAAUCGCCAAUGGCAGUCAGCAGGGUUUAAGAACAUCAGUUGUUCGACCUGUUAGUCAAAUGCGUUUUGUUUAAAUAUAUUUUUUCACUUUUUUGGUCUUUUGGAAAAUGUUGCUUGAGCUGUAUUUAGACCCUUCUACAACGAAAUUUGUUUUACAUGCACACGUAUAAAAUUGCGGUUUUUAUCCAACGCAAUCAUAGGUUUGAACGUAGUUUUCAAUUUAGACUCG